ensembl:lncRNA
CCUGCCGUCUCACCUCAGGGAUGGGAAGAGGUCCUCUUCCACCAACACGCGGUGACCUGAAGCUAUCGAUUUUUUGCCAGGGACCUCCCCAUUCCCCACAGGGCUCGGGAAGUCACCCUGUUCACUCAUCACCCUGGUCAACAGCCGUCCUUCUCUUGCAAGGGUAAGCCUGGGAAGAGGGUACUACAACGAAAACCCUUUAAAGGAUUAUCUUAUCUUACAGACACACACUCCAGCAGCCAGAAUCCAAAGCAAAUAAAACAUGUGCCAUCCUGAAGUCCUUUCACAGGAGAGAGGAAUCCCACUGAGGCAAGCAAGGAAAGCAGUGUAAAAGAGGUGGGAACAUGUGCUGUGGGCCUGGAGAGACGAGUGGGCGUCCAGCCAGUGGAGGGGAGGUAUAAAUCAAGGCAGCUGCCUGGGAAGCCCAAACAGGGCAGGAGAGGAGGAGAUGGUCUGUGCACCCGAGAGUGUCAAGCCAAGGUGGGCCUUCCCUGAAUGACAGCAGGGCGGCAGCCAUGGAAUAUUUGCGAGAAAAGCAGUGACCUGAUGAGAUGUAGUGAAGUCAGUAGGAAAACAGCAUAGUGAAUGUGAAAUGGCCUUAGAUUUAAGAUUUGACUCUGGCUUCAAGAAUCUGUGUGUGGAAAGAGAGAAGGUGCAGGGAAGGCAGGAGAGAGGAGAGGGGAAGAAGGCAGAGAGAGAUGGAGAGAGGAGAAAGAAAGCCAGGGAGAGGUGUCCUGAAGACAGAAAAGAGAAGAGAAAGAAAUGUGAGUGAUCAACCAAGCCAGGGAGGGUUUUGAAGUCGGACCAUUCAUCAAGUUUGGGCCUUUCGGUGGGAAAGGGGAGGUGAGGCUUGCCCAGCUAACCAAGGCCCUGUCUGCAGGUGUGAAACCCUCCCUGAGCUCCCCUCUGGCCAGGACGCCAGGUGAGCCCUGGGGAGCCCAGGCCACUUGGGUGAGUGGCUCUUAUGGAAAGAAGGCAAGAGAUUGUAAAGAGCAGGACCAUAUCUGCUGUUCGAAAUGCAUUUCAUUGCCCAGGUGGGACUGACAGCCCUGGGGAUGCCCUGGAGCAGAGAAAUUGUCAGAGGGGAAGGUGCUAGAAGGUGAUAAUUGCUGGGCACAUGGAAUCUGAAUCCACCCCAGCGCCAGCUUCUGGGCUUCAACCAACACAGUCAGCUUCGGAAAGAAUUAGGUCUGAGUUCGCUGGUUGUUCACACUCAGAAACGGAAGCGGAAAAACUUUCAUACAUCUGGUUCUCCCGGCACAAAACCCCCACCCUGUGCGCCGGGAGGCCGUUUAGUAAUGUUAUGGCUCCAUCUACAGCCUGCGGAAGGAUGCUCGCCGCCAGGCUUCCACAAACAGCCGGCCGGCACUGCAAUUAAUGCUAAUUAAAGCCCUUGCCCCCGUCUGCGCCUUUAUCCAACGCAGACUUGGAACUUCGCUGGAAGUUGUUUCAGGCUGAGUCUACAACAGCAGCUGUUCAGAUUAUUCCAGAACCCUUUCAGCCAAAAUUGGUUGGGAGUUUCUAUUUUAAACCCCCGAUUGUUAUGAAUUGCGUUAAAUGUCUUUUUUUCCCCACUCCCUCCACCAGGUUUUAACAAUGGAACAAAGAUGAAAACCCUCAAAAUAGCAAGAUGGCCUUUUCUUUCAUUCAUUCAAGGGAACACUCAGCACCUUCUUUGAGUCAGGUUCCAUGGUAAAGCACAGAGGUAGGUGAGGUAUGAAAACAUCCCGUAACUGACCCAUAAGAACUUUUGAUACUUCCUCUUGUUGGCUGGAACGUUUCCACAUAGGUCAAAAAGAGGAAAGGAGAAAGUCCCAGGUCGCCAGUGGUUGUAGAGCUUGGAACAACCUCCAUAUACAGAGAACAUAAAGUCCUUUGACUCAGGACAAAAUGGAAGCUGAAAGUUCCUUAAAGAGGCUGCCUAAUUGACACUCUCAUCAGUCACCAAUAAAAGGGAAGGCGUGGCAGAAGACUCGAGGAUGUCAGAAAGAAGCACAACCUGAGUAGAGGUGAGGCAGAGACCAGGGUUGCCCAAGGUCAUGGCAAGAGACGAGGUGGAGGGAGCCCUCCCUUUCUGACUGCUGGCUCAGUGGUCAGUCCACGCUGACCAAAAGAGGCUGCUUGUACUAUGCAAGUAAAAUAUGAACGCCCAGGUUGUUGGGGAGCAAGAAGACACUCCGAAUACGAGGUGGAAAGGGGGAGCCGGGAGCAGGAGAAACCGGACUUCCCUUUUAUGUGUUGCUUCAUGCCUCUGCUGGUGAACAGCAGGAGGAGAGAGAAAUGGCUGACUCCAAACCCACAGUUCCUGCCCUGGAGUGAAAUAAAAUACUCCGAGGCUGGUGUUUCAAUUGGUGCAAGAUUCUGAAGAGAGCCGAACACUCCCUCUUCCUUUUUGGGACAUGAAUUCCCCAGCUGAAAAAAUGCAUCACUUGGCCUUACCUGCCCUACUCCAUCACCACCUCCUUCUCAGGGAUGUCGUGACAAAGAGGUUUGUUUUGAUGUCUGAGGCGAAGAGAUCUUCCCAGGAGGAGGCCGAGGGAACACUCAGGCGAAAUGGCACCCUACCCUCAUGUCAACAGCCUCUCGAUUUAGCUGAUGACCGUUUUUGUCUCAUCCAAGAAAACUUCAGAGUCGGUCUAUGCACCCACUCUCCCAACCCACCCAGCCAGCCAGGAUGCUCUUCUGGAGCUAGCCCAGCUGACAGAAUCAGAGCAAACCACCCCCUGGAGGACACUCCGGAGGUCAUCGCAGCCAGCCCCCUGCCUCCAGGCAGGUCUCCCAUAAAUCGUCCUCGACAGAGACUGCCUCGUUGGAGGCCCUUUGCUCGGAGCACCCUGAGCAGCUGAGUAAAGUUUUGUGCUGACUCCGUAGAGCCCCAUCGGUGGCAGCACCCGCCGCCAGCUCAUAAGGGAAUCAUUAGUGAAACGCAGCCCUGUGCGAGGGCCCGAAGGCCUGUGGCAAUUAAUCACCUCUCCUCCCUGGCAGCCCCAGCUGUCUCAGAUGCAGCCAUCCUCCAGGUAGCCCUUUAAUUGUCCCUGGAGAAGGCAGAUGGGUGAGGGGCCACCUGAGCUCACGUUAGCCCAGCAAUCUUCCCAAAUAAAAAGAAA